rnacentral:lncRNA from 1 species
AUGGGUUUGAUCAAAUUAAAGAGUUUAAUUCGAUCAUCAAUUAGAAAAGUUUUUAAUUGCUAAAAUCGGGUGAGUUCGAUUAGACCUAGAUCGAUUAGAUUAAAUUCUAAUCAAAUCAGAUCAACUUGCACUUAAACCCACUAUAGGCUAGAUAUGAAAUCCAAUGGGUUACACAUAAAGAAAAUUUAUCAAGGAUCUAAUUAGAUUAGAUCAUGUUUGCAAAAUUGAUAUGCUAGCAUAUGUUGCAAAUCCUAGCUCUUUAUUUUGAAUCGGGUUCGAAAUUGAUUAUAGAUUGGACUAAUUAAAUCUAAACUAAUUCAAACUAAUUUUGGGUUUCAGUUGAGUUAACCCUUGGCUACAUAUACCAGGGAUUUGGGGCCAUAAAACUAGGUUCCCAUGCAUCAAGAAUUUUUCUUAUGCAAGGAUGCAGUUUUGUGCGCAAAAGAUCAAGUGGCGUCCCAUGAGAUGGGAUGCCCCUUCCUCAUCCUUAUCCAUUUUAUUCCAUGAUGAAAAAAUUCUCGAAGAAUCCUGAGUUAAUUCUGAGUGCAGAGGAGUCCUUCUGUGGCUAAAUCACCUUCCGAUUUAAUCAUGAAAAUUAGUUGAAUUUUGAAUACCUAGAUAAGUCUAUCCUUGCACCUAACCAAGAGUCCAUAUUGUUAAGGACUCCAAUCUAAAUGUCACACCACAUCUAAUCUCUGAUUUUUUCCCACGCAAUCUCUAGGUUAGCACCUCAAUUUUGGUCCCUUGGAUUGCCAAAAUGUGCUGAUGUGUGGUGGAGAAAAAAUGCACCAAGGAAAGCUUCACGACACAUCAGAGAAACAUCAAAAAAAUAUUUUGAAGAGUCCUUCUACACGAGCAUCUCUUGGAUUCUUUUUCCGAUGCUUGCCAUGUGUCAUGAGAUUCCAGAUAUGCAUGGGAUUUUGUCAUGGGGCAUGAGAAAUUUUGAGAAGGUGCGAGAUGGCAUGUGGAGAGGGUGCAAGUCAUGCCCGUAGGCAACCUAUCGCUAACUAUUUAAAGGGGGCUGCGUCAGAGAUUUGAUUCAUUCAGAAUUCUAAACCUAUCUCUUCUUUCUUACACCCUCUCCUUAUUGUCUAAUUAGUCUCUUCUUUCUCUUGUUAGAACAAGUCCAAAAAUAAUAAAGACAAGUUCAAUUUUAGGAUAAGAGCCUAGGAUGAGAUUUAAGGAAGAUAAGGAAAGAAGAAAGGUAGGGAUAGGAAGGUUAGGAGGAGAGAAAGAAGGUCUUGAGGUCCUACUGUCCAAAAAAAUUCUCAGCGUGAGAAUUUUAGAGAAAAAAUCAUCCUAAGGAGUUGU